AGGGUGGUGGAAGUUGAUGAGGUUAGUCAAACGUCACUUCAACCAGUGUGUAGCAGGGCGCAGGAAGAUGUUCCUGUGGCGCCUACACCAAUUGAAGUGGAAGCUGAUGAUGGUGAUCAUUAGAGCUUCAGAUCAAGUUACUACAAACCUCGUAGGUCCAAAGAGGUCGGGUACUACUACAGAGUGGUACGGUAACCCUGUCUUGGAGG
rnacentral:lncRNA from 1 species